UUUGGGUCGUACUCCCCUCAACAGUAAAACGGGUGGUGCGGUAAUAAUCACUUCAAAGGGCAAAGACACAAGAGAACCGUGCCCACCCCAGCAUAUGCAUCACGGGAGGAUUACCCUCUUCACUGUCUUCAUUACAAUGCUGUGGACACCAAACAAAUCCUCACGAAACUGAGGGGUAGUACUGGAAAGGACGUGGUGAUGGCAUCAAGACUCAAAAGGGGCUUCCCUGGCGGCGCAGUGGUUGAGAGCCCGCCUGCCGAGGCGGGGGACGCGGGUUCGGGCCCCGGUCCGGGAGGAUCCCACGUGCCGCGGGGCGGCUGGGCCCGUGAGCCGUGGCCGCUGAGCCUGCGCGUCCGGAGCCUGCGCUCCGCAACGGGAGAGGCCACAGCAACGAGAGGCCCGCGUACGGCAAAAAAAAAAAAAAGACUAAAAAGGAUUUUGGCAGUCCAUACAAUGGGGGAGGCCAAACAAAGUCACAGAACAGGUAUCAGUGGAAACAGAAGCCAACUCCAAAGAAGAUUGAGUUAGAUCUCAAAUUCCUGGACAGCCCGGCCGCAUCCGGCAUCACAAAGCCGCCUGCUUUGUUCCCCCCUGACAUAUCUCUGGAAUCCAUCCCCUCUUCUCCCAGAUUCACCGCACACUGCCGGGCAGGUCCCCACCUGUUCGCUAUCCCCUCCAUCGCCUGGACCACCUGUAGCAGCCUCUCAGCUGACACCCGCUCUGCAAAUGAAAUGAGCCACAGGAGAAACAGCUAAUGUCAACAAACUGCCACCAAAAUAUGCGCACGCCAUAAACCAACUGACGGGAGAAGCAUCUUUACCGAAACUAUCCAUCCUUCCUUCUCAUUAAUAGUUCAAAUCGUACACAAGAAAGCGACCUCGUCCUUCACUGCAUUUCCUUCUCUGGGAGAUUUUGACAACGUUCCAACUAUUCAAGAAUGAUGAUCUCCGUGAAACAGAUACUAAAGUAUGAGACCUUAAUAGAAAUCAUUUCUCUUAUUAGCAAUCAACUAACGUUUCAAAUGUGAAUUUAGAAAUAACACUGAAACAUUCUUUCAAUUGCCUGGGCAGGAUGACCAGCAUUCAUUAUAUAAAUAAUUUCAUUAUAAAGAUACACUCAAAGAUUUACCUAAUAAAUCCCUGCUCCAAAACUGGGAGGAUAUUUUUCUAAAAAUGCAAGUUUAAGUUUUCCAUAAAGAGCCACACACAAAGGAAUAGCUCAAUUAAAUUCCCAGCUCUUUUUAAAAACAUGGUUUGAUUAGCUUGGAAGCUACAUCUAAUUCUAAGAUGUGCCAGAGGCACGUAUGUAGAAACAUAAUCAUAGCGUCAAGGCAGCUGAUAAAAUAAAUAAAGGCCAUGGAAGGCAAAAUAUUAUACUGAAUUAUUAUCUACGAAUGUAACCAAAAGGUUGGUAUUUGAUAUGUCACAAUGAAUAUCCCUAAAAACAUUCAGAAUGUCCUCCAAAGACAAACUGGGUUAUGUGCAUUAAGGCAGAGCUUGCUGAUUACCCCCAGGGUCAAUCCUUCAAUUUCUAGGAAAGGGAAAAGAACCUCAAUUCUUUGCUAAACCAAAAGAACUACAUUGUCCACUUCCCUUCCACGCAAAUGUGGUCAUUUGGCCAAUGAGAGGCAGGCGGAAGUACCGUUAAGGUUUCUCCCGAUAAGCAUCUUUGACUUAAUUGUUUCCCCCCCCAGGUUUAUUGAGGUAUAAUUGACAUAAAAUUGAAAGAUAUUUAAAGUGUACGUCAUGGUGAUUUGAUACACGUAUACAUUGUAAAAGGAUUCCCCACAUGUAAUUAACACUUCCAUCACCUCACAAAUUUAUCUUUUUCAGGACAACAAUUAAGGUCUAUUCUUUAGCAAAUUUCAAUUAUAUAAUACAGUUAUCAGCAUGUUUACAUUAGAUCCCCAGACCUUAUUUAUUUUAUAGCUGAAAGUCUGUACUCUUUCACAAACCUCUCCCUAUUUCUUGUAUCCCCCUCAGCCCCUGACAACCACUUUUCUACUGUUUCUAUGAGUUUGACUUUUUUUUUUAGACUCCGCAUAUGUUACCAUGCAGUAUUUGUCUUUCUCUGUCUGGCUUAUCUCACUCAGCAUAAUACCCUCAAGGUCCAUCCAUGUUCCAAAUGGAAGGAUUUCCUUCUUUCUCAUGGUUGAUAAUAUUCCGGUGUGUGUGUGGGUGUGUGUGUGUGGUGGGGGGUGUAUGCCUAUAUAGAAAACUCAUAUCUUAUUUAUCCAUUCAUCUAUCAGUAGACAUUUAGGUUGCCAUCUAUCUUGGCUACUGCAAAUAAUGCUGCAAUGAACAUAGGGGUGCAUAUAUCUUUUCAGAUUAGUGUUCCUGUUUUCUUCAAGUGAAACACCCAGAAGUGGAAUUACUGGAUUGUCUGGUGGUUCUAUUUUUAAUUUUUUGAGGAACCUCCAUAUUGUUUCUCAUAGUGUCUGUACUAACUUACAUUCCUACCAACAGUGCACAAGGGUUCCCUUUUGUCCACGCCCUUGCCAAGACUUGGUAUCUCUUGUCUUUCUGAUAAUAACCAUUCUGACAGCUGUGGAGUGAUAUCUCAUUGGGGUUUUGAUGUGCCUUUCUCUGACAAUUAGUGAUGCCAAGCACCAUUUCACACACCUGUUGGCCAUCUGUGUGUCUUCUUUGGUGACACGUCUAUUCAGAUCAUCGGCUCAUUUUCUAAUGGGACUGUUUUGGGUUUUUUUGCUACUGAGUUGUAUGAGUUUGUAUUUUUUUUAAAAUAUAUUUUCAAUAUAAACUCCUUAUCUCCCAGUAAGACUCUUUUCAAAGGAGGGAGAGGACCUUCCUCCCAGCCUGGGAUGCAUUGUGGUGGCCUGGGGUGGAGCUGUGGCCUGAGAGCAUGCUGGGAAUAGGGAGAAUUUUGCUGCAAUGAGUCAGGUCUCAGCAAAGUCAUGAAGCAUCCCUUCCUACUCUGGACUUCUUGUCUGCAGUGUAAUAGAGACAAACUUCCCUCCUGUAUAGCAACUGUGGUUUGAGGUCAUUUCUUCUCUUAAAUGCCGUGGAACCUAAUUUUAAAUGAUUGAGGCAGCGCAUGAAGAAAGAACUUCAAAUGUCCAUUGCCUUUCUAGACCCCUCCCAUCAUCAUGCCCCACUCCUUCUAUCAAGCUGGUGUCUCCUCCCCGCCCGCUUCCAAAGAAAAAGCACUUAUUAGAGUAAGCGCUACGUCAUCCCACAAGAAAUACAUACUCGUGUGCAUGUGUGCAUGUCCCGAGUAAGAGUAAGACAUCUAAUGUACAUAAAGGAAAAAACCAUCCCCAAGUGAACCCGAAUUUAGAUUGCUGUCCUUGACACCUCCAUUUUGAAGAUGCUCUUAAGAAACAGGUUAAUCAUUAUAACUAAUUAAAUAUCA